GCACCUAGACGGAAAGACCCCGUGAACCUUUACUACAGCUUGGCACUGAACAUUGACCCUACAUGUGUAGGAUAGGUGGGAGACUAUGAAACAUUGUCGCUAGAUGAUGUGGAGUCAACCUUGAAAUACCACCCUUGUAUGUUUGAUGUUCUAACAUUGCCCCCUAAUCGGGGGUAUGGACAGUGUCUGGUGGGUAGUUUGACUGGGGCGGUCUCCUCCUAAAGCGUAACGGAGGAGCACGAAGGUUGGCUAAUCAUGGUCGGACAUCAUGAGGUUAGUGCAAUGGCAUAAGCCAGCUUGACUGCGAGACAGACACGUCGAGCAGGUACGAAAGUAGGUCAUAGUGAUCCGGUGGUUCUGAAUGGAAGGGCCAUCGCUCAACGGAUAAAAGGUACUCCGGGGAUAACAGGCUGAUACCGCCCAAGAGUUCAUAUCGACGGCGGUGUUUGGCACCUCGAUGUCGGCUCAUCACAUCCUGGGGCUGAAGCCGGUCCCAAGGGUAUGGCUGUUCGCCAUUUAAAGUGGUACGCGAGCUGGGUUUAGAACGUCGUGAGACAGUUCGGUCCCUAUCUGCCGUGGGUGUAGGAUACUUGAGAGGAGUUGCCCCUAGUACGAGAGGACCGGGGUGGACGUAUCUCUGGUGGACCUGUUGUUGCGCCAGCAGCAUAGCAGGGUAGCUAUAUACGGAAGGGAUAACCGCUGAAUGCAUCUAAGCGGGAAACCCACCUCAAAACCAGGUUUCCCUUGAGAGCCGUUCUAGACUAGGACGUCGAUAGGCCAGGUGUGGAAGCGCUGCGAAGCGUGGAGCUU
rnacentral:rRNA from 1 species